GCCUUAGUAGCGCAGCUAACGCGUGAAGUUGACCGCCUGGGGAGUACGGUCGCAAGAUUAAAACUCAAAGGAAUUGACGGGGACCCGCACAAGCGGUGGAUGAUGUGGAUUAAUUCGAUGCAACGCGAAAAACCUUACCUACCCUUGACAUGUCUGGAAUUCCGAAGAGAUUUGGAAGUGCUCGCAAGAGAACCGGAACACAGGUGCUGCAUGGCUGUCGUCAGCUCGUGUCGUGAGAUGUUGGGUUAAGUCCCGCAACGAGCGCAACCCUUGUCAUUAGUUGCUACGAAAGGGCACUCUAAUGAGACUGCCGGUGACAAACCGGAGGAAGGUGGGGAUGACGUCAAGUCCUCAUGGCCCUUAUGGGUAGGGCUUCACACGUCAUACAAUGGUCGGGACAGAGGGUCGCCAACCCGCGAGGGGGAGCCAAUCCCAGAAACCCGAUCGUAGUCCGGAUCGCAGUCUGCAACUCGACUGCGUGAAGUCGGAAUCGCUAGUAAUCGCGGAUCA
rnacentral:rRNA from 1 species